rnacentral:rRNA from 1 species
UACGGGGGGAGCAAGCGUUGUUCGGAUUUACUGGGCGUAAAGGGCGCGUAGGCGGUCAGCACAAGUCAGUUGUGAAAUCUCCGGGCUUAACUCGGAAAGGUCAACUGAUACUGUGCGACUAGAGUGCAGAAGGGGCAACUAGGAAUUCGUUCGGUGUAGCGGUGAAAUGACGUAGAUAUCGAGAGGAACACCUGCGGCGAAGGCGGGUUGCUGGGCUGACACUGACGCUGAUGCGCGAAAGCUAGGGGAGCGAACAGG